UAUAAUCAUGGGAAUUGUCCUCCUUUUCUCCACCAGACAUUUGUUAAAGGCCUUCUACACCCCAAUUACUGUGUUGAGCCUUCCUGUAAGAUGAAGAUGAGCAUCCUUAGUGCUGAGCCUGAAGGGACUUCUAAGGAAGAGGCCAAAAGGAACCUGCCAAUGGCAGAUGAUAUCCCAGUAGCAGAAAAAGUCUGUGGCAAAGAUCCCUGUAUGGCAUUUGGGAACAGAAGUCUGUACUGUGUUCAGAGCUGGACAAUAACAACAUCAGAAUGCAGGAGUUUCCUAGAUCUGAGAUCUCAAGGCCUCGAUUCUUGGUCUCCCACCUGUGAGGAGCCUGCCUUCAGCAGUUCCAAAUAAAAGACCUUUUGAUUCCACCAUCCCUUCAAGGUCUGGGUUUUGACCUUGAUGGUAUUUAUUGACUGAGGUCAUCCAAACAAGAACUUCCGAAAGCCAUAGCAUCCAGUGGUUUUUGUGAGUAUGACGCCCCUGCUGCUGCCUGUAUUUAUGAAGUUUGAGCUCAGGUUUCUGAUGGUUCCAAACCUAGGGGGUGGGGGUGGCAGUCUUUUCUUUACCUUUUAUUUGCCUGUUGGCAGCUCC
rnacentral:lncRNA from 1 species